AGCAGCCGCGGUAAUUCCAGCUCCAAUAGCGUAUAUUAAAGUUGUUGCAGUUAAAAAGCUCGUAGUUGAAUUUCGGAAUCAGUACGCUGGUCGUGCCUUCGGUAUGUACUGGUGUCACUGGUUUCUCCCUUCUGAAGAACCAUCAUGCCAUUUACUUGGUGUGGUGGGGAAUCAGGACUGCUACUUUGAAAAAAUUAGAGUGUUUAAAGCAGGCUCGCGCUUGAAUACAUUAGCAUGGAAUAAUGAAAUAGGACGUUAAUCCUAUUUUGUUGGUUUCUAGGAUCGACGUAAUGAUUAAUAGGGAUAGUUGGGGGCAUUAGUAUUCAAUUGUCAGAGGUGAAAUUCUUGGAUUUAUUGAAGGCUAACUACUGCGAAAGCAUUUGCCAAGGAUGUUUUCAUUAAUCAAGAACGAAAGUUAGGGGAUCGAAGACGAUCAGAUACCGUCGUAGUCUCAACCAUAAACCUAUGCCGACUAGG
rnacentral:sRNA from 1 species